GAGCUUCAAACACAAGGCAAGCAUAAAACCAUCAGCGCAGUCAAGAUUUAUUUGCUGCAGUACAGACAGGCUGGAAAGGAGUCACUGUUGCACAGUCUGUCAGAUGUCAUGGCAAAGAAAUCAGGAACCCUCUGAUCCUUCAAAAAUGACCCAUGCAUGAGACUUAAAACUACUGUCACACCUUAAUGAAUGAAACGAGACUCCUUCUGCCCUCUCAAAUUUGCUGACUUCCAACUUCAAGAUUUAGGAGCUUGAAGCUUCAAGCUGCAUCUCUGAUAUUAUCAGACUCUGUGUGUGUGUAUAUAUAUAUAUAUAUGUGUGUGUGUGUAUAUAUAUAUAUACACACACAUAUAUAUAGUUAAACUAUGGCUCUCUAAGCAGAGACAGCCAAACUCGGCAUAGAUUCAGGCAGAUUAACACCAGGGUUUCUUUUGAAAUUGGAGGUUGUAAAGAGAGGUUCUUUACCUCCAGCCUUCCCACAUGAGGAUGUUUCUACUCCAGAUAUAAAUCACCACACUUGCUGGAGGUAAUUUGCUCCAGCACUGUGUUUAGAAAAGUUGAAUCUAAUUAAGGCAAGAAUGGCCAGGUUUUUAUUUUCAUUCAGGAUUCUGCCCUGAAUAUGUUUAAACACUGAUUUUCCAUAAAGCCUGAUCAUCAUGAGUUUGACCUGGGGUUGUUUGCUCUCAUGGUUGUACAAACCUUACAAGGGGCUGCUCAUGUGCCCUGUGAUGCUUACUGGAGAGGAAGGGAUCUGCUGGGAUGUAACACAGCUCAUGGCAUGGGAAAAAGGCUUUCUACCCCAUCCUGAACAUGAACACUACAUGAUGUGAGCAUAUGGACAAAGCCACUUACUAUUAUUUGUCCUGGGCUUUACAGAAGAGCCACAACCACUCUGGAGGGAUGUGCAUGUGUGCUUCGGUUGCAAAGCAAAUUGAUAGUGAACUGUCAAAUCCAGGGGGACGCAGCAGAGAGAUUUUCAGCAGAAAC